GGAUUUGCUCGGCCGCCUCCAGGUCGGAGGAGGUCUGCUCGGAUGCUUCCAGGUCGGAGAGGCCACUCGGGCGCCUCCGGGUCUCCUGGUCAAAGGAUCUGCUCGGCCGCCUCCAGAUCGGAGGAGGUCUGCUCGGCCGUUCAUGCAAGCGUGACUUAUAUUUUUCCCCCCCAACAAAACCCAUAACUUCAAAAAGCAUUCUCAAGUAACUACUCAUCUCCAUUGCAAAUUGUAACCCAAAGAGCGCAAGAUCAUAACCUUCUUGUCUAGAUUGGGAACUUUUAAGCAUCGAACUGUCACCCCCACCAAGAAAGCAACCAAAAUCUCCAAGAAUCCCAAACCGAUGGACAGAGAGAGGGGAAAGAGAAA